rnacentral:rRNA from 1 species
GGACUGAUCCAGCAACGCCGCGUGGGGGAUGAAGGCCUUCGGGUUGUAAACCCCUGUUGAUCGGGAAGAACGGUCACGAUAGGAAAUGAUCGUGAUUUGACGGUACCGGUAGAGGAAGCCCCGGCUAACUACGUGCCAGCAGCCGCGGUAAUACGUAGGGGGCGAGCGUUGUCCGGAAUUAUUGGGCGUAAAGGGCGCGUAGGCGGUCUGGUAAGUCGGGGGUGAAACCCCGGGGCUCAACCCCGGGACUGCCUCCGAUACUGCUGGACUUGAGUGCUCUAGAGGGUAGUGGAAUUGCCGGUGUAGCAGUGAAAUGCGUAGAGAUCGGCAGGAACACCAGUGGCGAAGGCGACUGCCUGGGGAGUAACUGACGCUGAGGCGCGAAAGCUAGGGGAGCAAACAGGAUUAGAUACCCUGGUAGUCCUAGCCGUAAACGAUGAGUGCUAUGUGUGAGGGGUAUCGACCCCCCUCGUGCAGCAGUUAACGCAAUAAGCACUCCGCCUGGGGAGUACGGCCGCAAGGUUG